rnacentral:rRNA from 1 species
UACGAAGGGGGCUAGCGUUGCUCGGAAUCACUGGGCGUAAAGGGUGCGUAGGCGGGUCUUUAAGUCAGGGGUGAAAUCCUGGAGCUCAACUCCAGAACUGCCUUUGAUACUGAGGAUCUUGAGUCCGGGAGAGGUGAGUGGAACUGCGAGUGUAGAGGUGAAAUUCGUAGAUAUUCGCAAGAACACCAGUGGCGAAGGCGGCUCACUGGCCCGAUACUGACGCUGAUGCACGAAAGCGUGGGGAGCAAACAGG